UACGUAGGGUGCAAGCGUUAAUCGGAAUUACUGGGCGUAAAGCGUGCGCAGGCGGUUGUGCAAGACAGAUGUGAAAUCCCCGGGCUUAACCUGGGAACUGCAUUUGUGACUGCACGGCUAGAGUGUGUCAGAGGGGGGGUAGAAUUCCACGUGUAGCAGUGAAAAUGCGUAGAUAUGUGGAGGAAUACCGAUGGCGAAGGCAGCCCCCCUGGGAUAACACUGACGCUCAUGCACGAAAGCGUGGGGAGCAAACAGG
rnacentral:rRNA from 1 species